CAUCAUCAGGAGCAAGAAAUCGUACUGACUUAUUGUAGAAAUUGAUAUGAACUUGAAUUCCAACCAGCUCAUACCUAGAAUGACAUCAAGAUUACUUAGUGGCAGACAAAUUAAUUCCAUACCAAAGUCUAUACCAUAGAUUGAUAGAGGAUAAUUCAAGCAGAUUAAAGAAGUAGUCACCGACCCAUUAGUUGGAGUAUCGAUAACUAGUCCACUACUCAAAAUAAACACUACAUGCCCCAAU
rnacentral:lncRNA from 1 species